rnacentral:rRNA from 1 species
CACGUAGGGGGCAAGCGUUGUCCGGAAUUAUUGGGCGUAAAGAGCUCGUAGGCGGCUCGGUAAGUCAGGUGUGAAAUCCUCAGGCUCAACCUGGGGCUGCACCUGAUACUGCUGUGGCUAGAGUCCGGUAGGGGCGCGUGGAAUUCCUGGUGUAGCGGUGAAAUGCGCAGAUAUCAGGAGGAACACCAGCGGCGAAGGCGGCGCUCUGGGCCGGAACUGACGCUGAGGAGCGAAAGCGUGGGUAGCAAACAGG